rnacentral:tRNA from 1 species
GGGUCAUUAGUUCAAUUGGUAGAACCACCAGCUCAUAACUGGUUAGUUACAGGUUCGAGUCCUGUAUGACCCACUA